GUUUAUUAUGGUCUUUUUAAAAGCUUACGGGCCAUACUAUGUUUUUCUCUUUUGGUAUAGUCUAAUUCUAGAAAGUAGUCUCUAAACUUACAUUUUGUCAAAGCUUGUUCAACUUUUACUUAAGCUCUUCUUACAUAUUCAUGGUUGGAAUCUCAGUGGAAUCACAAAUGAACUUAUAUUGGUGACAGGAGAGGGAAAGAGGUGGUUGAACCCAAUGCUGUAGGUGUAAUGUUCGUCUGGUCUGCUGAGAGCGAAACGUAAUAGUUCCAUAAUAAAUGUGAGAACAGUGAGAAGAAUGGCUCUGACUCUAAUUGCCCCCAAAAAACGAUUUAAAUGAAUGUUGUUUUUUUUAUUAACCCCUUAAGGACACAUGACAUGUGUGACAUGUCAUGAUUCCCUUUUAUUCCAGAAGUUUGGCCCUUAAGGGGUUAAACU